rnacentral:lncRNA from 1 species
GCGGUGUUCUAGCAGGUGGCUGCUUUCUCUGGGCUGGCUGUGGGAGGCUCCCGAGGUGGGGACCCGGCCGGGAUGGCUGCAGCGGCGGCCGGGGCUGGGAGCGGGCCCUCGGCGGCCCAGGAGAAGCAGUUCCUGCCGGCGCUGCUGAGUUUCUUCAUCUACAACCCGCGCUUCUGGCCGCGGGAAGGAGAGGUAUGCGGAGGGGGCGGCGCGUGAGCGGGCGGCGUCGGUGCCCCCCAGGGGCGGCGGCCCUGUGGUUCUGCCCACCUCGAGCGGCACUGACCUAGCCUGCGUUGUGCCAGGUGCUGAGCCCGGGCCGGGGGCUGCGGCGGGGACCUGACAGCAGGCAGGGACCGCUUCAGGUCCUGGGUCGAUGUCUGUCUAUGGAAUAAAGCCCCGUCAGGUCUGUAUCACUCCACACCCCAGGUUCAGUCUCUUUGCGCUUUGCGUUGCGUCAGUUCUGGGAAAUUAAAAUUGAACUUGGCUUUGUUAAGUGGGUAGUCCCCAACUAGAAGCGUGGAAGCAGAGUGGCAGACGCUAGCCUUCAAAUGAUGCAAGCCUGGAGGACCCUGUAAAAGUUUUCACCCAAAUGAGGAAAAUUAGUUCCGGGACACGUGUGUGUGUGUGUGUGUAAGUUAGUUACGGGACACGUGUGUGUGUGUGUAAGUUCCGGGACACGUGUGUGUGUGUGUGUGUUUUCUGAGGUGGGGACGGCGACUUUCUCAAAGGAUGUCCGGAGCUGUGUUUCGUUACCAGCAAGUCAGAGUUCUUUUAAAGACUGUCCAGGCUGGGCGCUGUAACUCACGCCUGUAAUCCCAGCACUUUAGGAGGCCGAGAUGGGAGGAUUACUUGGAGCCAGGAGUUCCAGACCAGCCUGGGCAACAAAGCAAGACCCCCGACUCUACCAAAAAAAAAAAAAAAAAAAAAAAAAAAAUCGAAAAAUGAGCCAGGUGUGGUGGCACGCACCUGUAUUUCCAGCUACUCAGGAGGCUGAGGCCAGAGGAUCGCUUGUGAUUGAGGCUGCAGGUGAGCUGUAAUUGGGCCACUGCACUACAGCCUGGGUGACAGAGACCCCAUCUCCAGAAAAAGAAAAAAAAAAAAAACUCGUCAGUUCAAAUGCUUGGGAACUGGCUGGAUUUAAUUUUCAGGGAGCUAUGUGUCUGCAGAUGUGCAAACCUUUAUUUCUUACAAGCAUUGGUGUAUUACAGAUUAGCUCUAGGAAAGAAAUAUGGAGACUUGAGUUUUCAUAAAAAUUACCUGGUGCUACUUCAGAUGUGACUUAUUGACUAUCGAAAUUGCCUUCUGACUGUUGGGCAGUAUUUGCACAAUGAUGAGAUAAUUCCUGUUAUUAUUUUAAAUAGAGACGAGGUCUCACGGUGUUGCCCAGGCUGGUCUUGAACUCCUGAGCUCAGGUGAUCCUCUCACCUCGGCCUCUCAAAGUGCUAGGAUUACAAUUCCUGUUUUUCUAAAACCGGUUUUUCUUUGGUUUUGUCAUUAGCAUGUGCGACACAAGAGGUCGACACUGAACUUAGCGUUUUCAAUAGCUAAGAUGAAAUGUUUCUAUUCAUGAUGUGCUUCUGUUUCCUCAUGUUUCAGGAGGAAAAUAAGAUUUUAUUUUAUCAUCCAAAUGAGGUAGAAAAGAAGAAGAGGCCGGGCUCGGUGGCUCAAGCCUGUAAUCCCAGCACUUUGGGAGGCUGAGGCGGGCGGAUCACGAGGUCAGGAGAUCGAGACCAUCCUGGCUAACACAAUGAAACCCCGUCAAUACUAAAAAUACAAAAAAAUUAGCCGGGCGUGGUGGCGGGCGCCUGUAGUCCCAGCUACUCGGGAGGCUGAGGCAGGAGAAUGGCGUGAACCCGGGAGGCGGAGCUUGCAGUGAGCGGAGAUCGCACCACUGCACUCCAGCCUGGGCGACAGAGCGAGACUCCGUCUCCAAAAAAAAAAAAAAAAUAGAAAAGAAUGAGAAGAUUAGAAAUGUCGGAUUGUGUGAAGC